UUAUAGUCAUUCGAACAUUACUGCAGCUAUGUUACAGUAUGUUACUCAAGGUCUGAACUACGAAUCGGAACUGGCACCCAGAUAAAUUGUGUGCAAUAGGAGGGUUUUGAGAAUUCCUGUCGGUGAUCAAUGUUCUGGCUGCAAGCGGUCCUUCCCUUGAUGCAGCGGAUACGGGGAGCAUCCGAUGUGGAUGCAAAAAUGAUUUCUUAAAGACAGAAGUACAAGGAAUAAAUCUAUAUGAUCAGA